UCCCUGGUGGUCCAGUGCUCAAGGCGUGGCACUCCCAAUGCAGAGGGCUCAGGUUUGAUCCCUGGUUGGGGAG
rfam:Ovis aries breed Texel chromosome 6, whole genome shotgun sequence.